ACGAACGCUGGCGGCGUGCUUAACACAUGCAAGUCGAACGAAGCUUGAUUACGGAUUCUUCGGAUGAAGUAUGAUAUGACUGAGUGGCGGACGGGUGAGUAACGCGUGAGUAACCUGCCCUUCAGAGGGGGAUAGCGUUUGGAAACGAACGGUAAUACCGCAUAAUGUAUUUUGACCGCAUGAUCGAAAUACCAAAGAUUUAUCGCUGAAGGAUGGACUCGCGUCUGAUUAGGUAGUUGGUGGGGUAACGGCCUACCAAGCCGACGAUCAGUAGCCGGACUGAGAGGUUGAUCGGCCACAUUGGGACUGAGACACGGCCCAGACUCCUACGGGAGGCAGCAGUGGGGAAUAUUGCACAAUGGGCGCAAGCCUGAUGCAGCAACGCCGCGUGAAGGAAGACGGUUUUCGGAUUGUAAACUUCUGUUCUUAGGGAAGAAUAAUGACGGUAGCUAAGGAGCAAGCCACGGCUAACUACGUG
rnacentral:rRNA from 1 species